rnacentral:rRNA from 1 species
GAUGAACGCUAGCGGCAGGCCUAAUACAUGCAAGCCGAACGGCAAGUUUGAUAGCAAUAUUGGACCUAGAGUGGCGCAAGGGUGCGUAACACGUAUGCAACCUGCCCGCGACAGGAGGAUAGCUCCCCGAAAGGGGAAUUAACCCUCCAUAACACCAUGAGAAGGCAUCUGAUUAUGGUUAAACCGCAAGGGGUCGCGGAUGGGCAUGCGGUUGAUUAGCUAGUUGGCGGGGUAAAGGCCCACCAAGGCGGUGAUCAAUAGGGGUUCUGAGAGGAAGGUCCCCCACACUGGCACUGGGAUACGGGCCAGACUCCUACGGGAGGCAGCAGUAGGGAAUAUUGGACAAUGGUUGCAAGACUGAUCCAGCCAUGCCGCGUGCAGGAAGAAGGCCUUCUGGGUCGUAAACUGCUUUUGACUGUGGAUAAAAUACCCGUGCGCGGGGAAUUGAAGGUAACAGGGGAAUAAGCCACGGCUAACUACGUG